AUUGAACGCUGGCGGCAGGCCUAAUACCUGCAAGUCGAACGAGUGGCGGACGGGUGAGUAAUGUCUGGGAAACUGCCCGUUGGAGGGGUAUUACUACUGGAAACGGUAGCUAAUACAGCAUACCAUCGGACCUGCCCAGAUGGGAUUAGCUAGUGGGUGGAGUAACUGAUCACCUAGUCGACGAACCCUAGCUGGUCUGAGAGGAUGACCAGCAACACUGGAACUGAGACACGGUCCAGACUCCUACGGGAGGCAGCAGUGGGGAAUAGUGCACAAUGGGCGCAAGCCUGAUGCAGCCAUGCCGCGUGUAUGAAGAAGGCCUUCGGGUUGUAAAGUGCUUUCAGCGAGGAGGCGUUACUCGCAGAAGAAGCACCGGGUAACUCCGUGCCAGCAGCCGCGGUAAUUC
rnacentral:rRNA from 1 species